UCCUGAUGUCCCUCCUAUUGCACCUCCUGAUCCACAGCCUAGCACUAGUACAGGUUCAUCAUUACAUGUACAGUCCUUUAUGACAUUUAGGGCAAUAAAGGAGAGGGAAAGAAAGACAUUCUUUCGGAAAACACAGAACUCUAAAAACAAGAACUCUGUGGAACAUAAACCAGUAAAGAUUAAUGUUGGAGUUAUGAGGAUGCAAGGUGACUCCCUUAAACCUGUGAGAGGGAAGUCACUUCCUGUUGAUAUUCAACCACAGUACUCAUCGGAACAAUUGCUGGCU